AUUGAACGCUGGCGGCAGGCUUAACACAUGCAAGUCGAGCGGAAACGAUGAUAGCUUGCUAUCAGGCGUCGAGCGGCGGACGGGUGAGUAAUACUUAGGAAUCUACCUAGUAGUGGGGGAUAGCACGGGGAAACUCGUAUUAAUACCGCAUACGACCUACGAGAGAAAGGGGGCAGUUUACUGCUCUCGCUAUUAGAUGAGCCUAAGUCGGAUUAGCUAGAUGGUGGGGUAAAGGCCUACCAUGGCGACGAUCUGUAGCUGGUCUGAGAGGAUGAUCAGCCACACCGGGACUGAGACGCGGCCCGGACUCCUACGGGAGGCAGCAGUGGGGAAUAUUGGACAAUGGGGGAAACCCUGAUCCAGCCAUGCCGCGUGUGUGAAGAAGGCCUUUUGGUUGUAAAGCACUUUAAGCAGUGAAGAAGACUCCGUGGUUAAUACCCACGGACGAUGACAUUAGCUGCAGAAUAAGCACCGGCUAACUCUGUGCCAGCAGCCGCGGUAAUACAGAGGGUGCAAGCGUUAAUCGGAAUUACUGGGCGUAAAGGGAGCGUAGGUGGCUCUAUAAGUCAGAUGUGAAAUCCCCGGGCUUAACCUGGGAACUGCAUCUGAAACUGUAGAGCUAGAGUAUGUGAGAGGAAGGUAGAAUUCCAGGUGUAGCGGUGAAAUGCGUAGAGAUCUGGAGGAAUACCGAUGGCGAAGGCAGCCUUCUGGCAUAAUACUGACACUGAGGCUCGAAAGCGUGGGUAGCAAACAGGAUUAGAUACCCUGGUAGUCCACGCCGUAAACGAUGUCUACUAGUCGUUGGGUCCCUUGAGGACUUAGUGACGCAGCUAACGCAAUAAGUAGACCGCCUGGGGAGUACGGCCGCAAGGUUAAAACUCAAAUGAAUUGACGGGGGCCCGCACAAGCGGUGGAGCAUGUGGUUUAAUUCGAUGCAACGCGAAGAACCUUACCUGGUCUUGACAUAUCUAGAAUCCUGCAGAGAUGCGGGAGUGCCUUCGGGAAUUAGAAUACAGGUGCUGCAUGGCUGUCGUCAGCUCGUGUCGUGAGAUGUUGGGUUAAGUCCCGCAACGAGCGCAACCCUUGUCCUUAGUUACCAGCGGGUUAAGCCGGGAACUCUAAGGAUACUGCCAGUGACAAACUGGAGGAAGGCGGGGACGACGUCAAGUCAUCAUGGCCCUUACGACCAGGGCUACACACGUGCUACAAUGGUAGGUACAGAGGGCAGCUACACAGCGAUGUGAUGCGAAUCUCAAAAAGCCUAUCGUAGUCCAGAUUGGAGUCUGCAACUCGACUCCAUGAAGUAGGAAUCGCUAGUAAUCGCGGAUCAGAAUGCCGCGGUGAAUACGUUCCCGGGCCU
rnacentral:rRNA from 1 species